rnacentral:rRNA from 1 species
CGUGAAGGAAAGUUGAAAAGAACUUUGAAGAGAGAGUUCAAGAGUACGUGAAACCGUUAAGAGCCAAACGGGUGGGACCUCGAAGGUCGAACCGAGGGGAUUCAGCUCGUCGGCCAGAGCCGGCUGGGCGGGGGAUUCGCUGAGGCGACCCAGGAACUCUUGGGCGUGCCCCCGUUCGAGCCGGCGCCGGCGGGCGUAUUUCCCCUCGUGACGUAGGUCGCCGCGACCCGUUGCUGGGGACGUCGAAGGCCCGGGCGGACUGGUACCCCGACGCCGUGCGUUCAUAGCGCCGACGAAGGGGGAAACCUCCGGUGUCCUGGCUGCCCUGCGACGGUCGUGAAGACGAGCGGUGCCUUGAGCACCGCUCUCGCGGCGUGCAAAAGGUCGGUGACCCACCCGACCCGUC